UACGGAGGGUGCAAGCGUUAUCCGGAUUCACUGGGUUUAAAGGGUGCGUAGGCGGGCAGGUAAGUCCGUGGUGAAAUCUCUGAGCUUAACUCAGAAACUGCCAUGGAUACUAUUUGUCUUGAAUAUUGUGGAGGUGAGCGGAAUAUGUCAUGUAGCGGUGAAAUGCUUAGAUAUGACAUAGAACACCAAUUGCGAAGGCAGCUCACUACACGAGCAUUGACUCUGAGGCACGAAAGCGUGGGGAUCAAACAGG
rnacentral:rRNA from 1 species